rfam:Amazona aestiva scaffold_665, whole genome shotgun sequence.
CCUUCGAUAGCUCAGCUGGUAGAGCGGAGGACUGUAGGCUCCUUGCACGGCCAUCCUUAGGUCGCUGGUUCAACUCCGGCUCGAAGGA